rnacentral:lncRNA from 1 species
GCCGGGUAUGAUUCGGUGACGUCGUACGGUGCGUCGUUUCCAUCCGUCCCGGUCGGCUUCUCUCUCUCUCUCUCUCUCUCUCUAGAUCAGAUGGCCGAGCUCCGUUAAACCCUAGCCCCUGAACCCCUCCCGAUUCCUCCACCCACGUUCGAUCUCCGAUCGCCGCGCCUCGCCGUCCGACGCUCCUCCUCCUCCGCCGCCGCCGCCGCUCCGCCUCCUCCGCCGCCGCCGCUCCGCCGGUGAGUCCGGCUGCUCCGUCUACCCUCUUCUUCUUCUCCCCCAACGCCUGUCGGUAGUCCGUCUGAGCUCGCUUUAGCUGGUGUUCGGGACUGUCUGAGGUGGGUUAGGGAGGGCGACGCACGCCCUUUGCGUAGAUGGGCUCCGUGAAGAACGCCCGCUUGAAAAGAAGUAUACUUGAUGGGUUUUGAUUACGUGAUGCCGG